CACGUGGCUUAGCGCCUCGGCAACGCAGUUUGCGAGCCGGCGCUGUGUAGCAACGUCGCCGUGUCCGCCCUUUUCGCCAGCGUCAUCACAUCGCACAUGCACAUGGACGUCGAAGGCGGAGGUAUUGUACGUGUUCCUGGAGGCCACGACUUAUGUCACAUGCUGCUCAAGAAUGCACAUCGACUUCUUCAGAAGGUUCAGAAGAGGUCUUCUUCAGAAGGUUGGCGUAAAGCCAGCAAUUUUAAUGCAGCCACUCUGUCUGUACGACCACUUGGUGCAAACUUUCAUUUUUGUGUUACACACACACUCAAUACAAUAACUGUAAUAAAAGAUUUGAAAAAUACA
rnacentral:lncRNA from 1 species